GAAGAUACUUGUGAGGUUCUAACCUUGAGUACUGUUUUAAAAAUGCAGCCGUUUGAUAGCUGGAAGUGAAACCCUUGGAAAAAGCUCUUAAGAAUACAUUUGAUAGUCAAAUUGUAUCUUUUCUAGAUGCUGCAAAAUCUGCUGGAUAUGCCAGAGAUAAAGAUGACCUGUCUAGUGUGCAUAUGAAUUAUGGAGCUUACUCUGGAUUUGUGGAGUUGCACAUAGAAAAAAGGGCCUAUUUUGGAAGCUGAAGGCGCACCUUUUCUUGUAUAACUUUGAUGCCCUCACAGAACUGGAAAUGUGUUGCUCCUGCUUUUCUAAAUUUUUUUAAAAUUCUUAUUUUAUGGGUUUUCCAAUUGGUGUCGUUACUGCCAUUGCUGCUCCUACUAGCAUCAAAGUGGACUCUGAAGGGGAUGGAGGUCAUGCAGCUGCUGCCCUGAUGCCAAACAGAAAUGAUGCAGGAUUAGCUGCUGCGGAGUUACCAUUGGCUUUUGAAAAGCAUGUUUUAGAAUCUGGGACCAUUGACACUGUUGGUAUUCUUGACCUGCAUCCUAGAGCUGUCAACAGCAUCCCAAGCAAAGCAUAUGUGAGAUAGACACACACGACAUUAAUGAAACGAGAAGAAACAUCAUGGUUGAUAAGAUCCAUCAGUCUGCUAUUGAUAUAGCUAAUAAACGCAAGGUCAAACUAUCAGGGUUUGAAAUUGUGAAUCGAGAUCCUCCAGCUCUUGCUGAUAAAAAAUAAUCGAAGCGAUGGAAGCUUCAGUUCAUCACGUGAGCUAAAUCAGGACUACAAACUGAUGGUUAGCAGAGCCUACCAUGAUUACCUAUUUAUUGCUAGGGUAUCUCCAAUGGGAAUGGUUUUUCAUUCCAUCCUAUAAUACAAGUUGUACACGCCAAAAAGGGGGAGGAGAAAAGACUGUGCUGGGUUGCAUGGGACAAGUUGUACACGCCAAAAAAAGGAGGGGGCCUCGGUUUCAGAAAUAUGAAGAAGUUCAAUAUGGCGUUGUUAGCUAAACAAGCUUGGCGGAUUUCGACAAAUGAGAACUCUUUGGUGGCGAAAGUGUUAAAAGGAAAAUAUUUCCCUCACUCGAACCUUUUUUAUGCUAAAGUUGGCCCGAACGCGAGUUAUACAUGGAGGUUGAUUUUAGGAGCUCGGGAUUUGCUUAGGAAGGGUGUUCGAAAAACAGUGGGAAAUGGCUCUACCAUCCAAAUUUGGAAAGAUCCGUGGAUCCAAACCUCCCAGACUUUAAAGUGAUACCGAGGCAGAAUGUGGGAGAAGGGGCACCAAUAUUUGUUUGAGACCUCUGGCUGAACAACUCAUGGAAUACUCAAGUUCUGAAGGAGUAUUUUUCCACAGUUGAGGUAACUGAAAUCUGCAGUUUACCUAACCCUCUCUAUAAUAGGCUGGAUGCUUGGAUGUGGCACUUUACUAAUGAUGGGCGCUACUCUGUAAGAAGUGCUUAUAAUCUGAUUACCAUGGAGCAAAAAAAUAACAAGGCCACCACCUCUAACCAAGCUGCAAUUUUGAUUGGAAUGUUGUAUGGUACGCUGAUGUGCCACCAAAGAUCAAACUCUUCGCGUGGAGGGCUAUCAAAGAGGCUGUGGCAGCUCGGCAUUCCCUGAUCAUAGUAUGCGAGACUUGGUGGAGUUAUGCGAGACGAGGUUGGGGAUGUAGUUGCCUCUACUUGUCUUCAAUUGGGAGGGAAGUUCGAGCCUGACAUUGCUGAAGCUCUUGCCAUGAGACAAUGCUUGCUCAUUGCUAUUGAAUUUGGUUUCACAAAGCUUUGUGUUGAAACAGAUUGCCUCAAAUUGUUCAGCCAUGUUUCGAAGUUCCUCAUAGUAUUAUGAACUUUGUCUUGGCUGAUUUAAGCCCUUCGAGUAGUUAAUAAAAGCUCUCUGCUUGUUUGCUUGUCAAAAAAAAAAAAAAAAAUAAAAUAAAUAAAUAAAAAAAAUACAACUUAGCUUCCUUGUUUCUUCGCUUUCUUUUUCUUUGUCCACAAUAUUGACUAAAGAAUCCACGACAACCGCGCUACAGCCAUUUCAUGACUCGUCGUCAUCUACAAGUACCUUGAGAUGGUCAUCCACUAGGAUUCCACCAAGAAGCAAAUAGUAGGGGAAGAAAUAGAAGGUGAAAUGCUUAGUUAAAGUUGGAAAUUUAAGUUAUUUUAUGCUAUAUUUACAAUUUAAUUUCAUAUUUUUUGUUAUAGGUUAUGUAUUGUAUUUUUCUGGGUAAUGGUCGAUGGAUCUAAAAUUUGACCUAAUUAUUCAAUGUUGUUUAUGUAAUUUGCAUGUAAAGAUUAAUUUUGAGACUAUUGUUAGG